rnacentral:rRNA from 1 species
GACAGAGGUGCCAAGCGUUAGGCGGAAUCACUGGGCUUAAAGCGUGUGUAGGCGGCUUCUUAAGUCUGGUGUGAAAUCUCCCGGCUCAACUGGGAGGGUGCGCCGGAUACUGAGGGGCUAGAGUGUGGGAGAGGAAAGUGGAAUUCCUGGUGUAGCGGUGAAAUGCGUAGAUAUCAGGAGGAACACCGGUGGUGUAAACGGCUUUCUGGACCAUAACUGACGCUGAGGCACGAAAGCGUGGGUAGCAAACAGG